UACGGAGGGGGCUAGCGUUGUUCGGAAUUACUGGGCGUAAAGCGCACGUAGGCGGCUUUGUAAGUUAGAGGUGAAAGCCCGGGGCUCAACUCCGGAAUUGCCUUUAAGACUGCAUCGCUCGAAUUGUGGAGAGGUAAGUGGAAUUCCGAGUGUAGAGGUGAAAUUCGUAGAUAUUCGGAAGAACACCAGUGGCGAAGGACGACUUACUGGAC
rnacentral:rRNA from 1 species